rnacentral:rRNA from 1 species
AUUGAACGCUGGCGGCAUGCUUUACACAUGCAAGUCGAACGGUAACAGGUUAAGCUGACGAGUGGCGAACGGGUGAGUAAUGCAUCGGAACGUGCCCGGUCGUGGGGGAUAACGCAGCGAAAGUUGCGCUAAUACCGCAUACGAUCUGAGGAUGAAAGCGGGGGACCGUAAGGCCUCGCGCGAUCGGAGCGGCCGAUGUCAGAUUAGGUAGUUGGUGGGGUAACGGCUUACCAAGCCAACGAUCUGUAGCUGGUCUGCGAGGACGACCAGCCACACUGGGACUGAGACACGGCCCAGACUCCUACGGGAGGCAGCAGUGGGGAAUUUUGGACAAUGGGCGAAAGCCUGAUCCAGCAAUGCCGCGUGCAGGAAGAAGGCCUUCGGGUUGUAAACUGCUUUUGUACGGAGCGAAACGGUCUCCUCUAAUACAGGGGGCUCAUGACGGUACCGUAAGAAUAAGCACCGGCUAACUACGUGCCAGCCGCCGCGGUAA